GAGAAUUGUUCUGUUGCCCAGGCUGGAGUUCAGUGAUGCAAUCUUGGCUCACUGCAACCUCCACCUCCUGGGCUCAAGCGAUUCUCAUGCCUCAGCCUCCGAAGUAGCUGGGAUUACAGGCACCCGCCACUGCGCCCGGCUAAUUUUUGUAUUUUUUUGGUAGAGAUGGGGUUUCGCCAUGUUGGCCAGGCUGGUCUCAAACUCCUGGCCUCAAGUGAUCCACCCACCUCGGCCACCUCGGCCACCCCGGCCACCCAGAGUGCUGGGAUUACAGGUGUGAGCCACCGCGCCUGGCCUGUUCAAAUACUUUCAACAAGUGCAAAAUGUAUGGGCUUAAAGAAAUAGGGCUGCAUUAUGAUGAAACAGAUACUGUUGAUUCAGUCAGCACAGAGGCUGUGUAUAAGGAGCAGUCAGCUAUUCAAGCACAGCGCACAGCACACACGCUGUUGUGAGAGUUCCGUGCUCAUUUCCUUGUGGAUACACCAGGAACUCACUCUGCUGUGACCCUUCAGUACACCUCAUGUUAGGAUUAGAGACAUCUGGGUCAUAUCAGCUGCCACUGUCAUCUUCUAGUCCCUCAAAGUGUCAGCUAAAGAAACAGGCUCAGAGGAUGUUAUUUGAUUGGACUAUGUUGUAUCUCUGGAGAGCACAGCUGAGAUCAGACUGUGUGUGUGUAACUCCACUAGACUAUGAGUGUGCUUCUCAUAAAGGGACAGGGUCUCAUUAUGUUGCCCAGGCUGGUCUGAAACUCCUGGCCUCAAGUGAUCCUUCUGCCUCAGCUUCCCAAAGUGCGGAGAUUAUAGGCAUGAGCCACGGGACCAGGACAGAAAACAAUUUUAAAAUGACAACCUCCCUGUGAAAUAAAACUUGACUGGCACCUGGGUUUGUAUGACUGUAAGGAUUAAAAAUGGUCAAGACACCCUAUAAAUAGAUUAAGGUUCCAACCUAAGUAGAAACAAUCUGGAAAACAGAAGUGUGUAAGUUUGGACCUCAAUUCUGAAAAUAUACUUUUUAAAAAACCCGAUUUUCCAACUCCCAAACAGAUUGUAGAAACCUUAAGAGUAUUUUUAUGCUGGCUUCCAAAGGUUAAAACAAAAUACACUCAUUUCACCUAUGAAUACUGUCAAAGCAUUAUAAAUGCUUAAUAUUAUUAUAUAUUUUUUUUACAAACAUUAAGCAGUAACUUCUAAAAUAAAAGUAUUUCCCACAUAGGUUAAGGUCUCCUAAGUAUCCUUAUAGAUCAUCAUUUAAGCUGACUAUUCAUUGAGUGACAUAAACUGAAAGCUGCUAGAGUAGAAUGACAUGAGAAAGGAAACACAGCUGUAGAUGGAAUGGAAGGGACACCUGUGGAGCUCCAUGCCAUGGAUCUCAGUCCAAAUCCAAACUUCACAGCUGAGGCCCAGGGGAAGGGAAGACAGGUUUUCCUUACUGAAAA